CUGCCCGGCCUCCCUGAGCUUGCCCGGCCUCCCUGAGCUUGCCCGGCCUCCCUGAGCUUGCCCGGCCUCCCUGAGCUUGCCCAGCCUGAUGGGACGAAGUGCUUGAAAUUACAAGCACUUCGAUGGAUAAGAAAAGUUUUAGCCAUUAUAUGUUUCUGACUGAUCUUAAAUGGUUAAUAUGUUCUGUAUGUCUUGGUUAUAGAUGAACAAUUACUGGAUAUGUUUAAAGGUUAAAACCAAACUCUUGUUUAGGACAUAUAUGUGUGCAUGUAUUUGUAAGAUCUGUAGAAGCACAGAUGUUUUUAAAUAGCAACCAUGUGGCUUGUCAUGCCAUGUGCUGACAUCCACCAUCUUGAAACUGCCACAUGGUGUGGGGCAAAGAAAGAAAUUACAGAACCCCUUAGUCAUAAUGAAUUUUGUUUAUCAUCCCAUUUCCUUUUAGACUAAAAAGACAAGUCUCAUUUUAAGCUGAUAUUGGUUUUAGAGGUUGGAUUUUUUGCACUGGUAAAAUUUGGUUUUGACUUUUAAAAUUAUGGUCAUGCUUUGUGACUUCACUCCUAAAAAGGGCAUUUUAUUUUGAUAUUGCAAAAAGAGAUUUCUCCUAAAAAUGUGUUUAAGGCUAAGAAACAUUUUAAAGUGUAUUGGGUAUUUUAUAAUAAUGUCUUUAUAUAUAUAUAAUUCAGGGUUGUGCUUUUGCAGCAUGCUUGUAUGUGUGAUUCGGCCCUGGUUUGUAAAGGUCUAUUCCGAUUAACAGGCUGAUUUGAAGUGUGUGCCUGUCUGCCAGUUCCUGAAUGAACAGAUUAAUGCUGUUUCUUUAUGGUUGAUAGGUUUGGUGUGACCAGAAUAGUUCAAGUACAGUAUAAAAUUAUUCUAUGCUGUUCUAUUAUGCAGAUGAUUCUAAGACUUACUUGAUUACAAUGUUGGAACUUGGUUAUGGGAAACUGUAAGUGCUCCACAGUGCUAUAUUGUGGGACACCUAAUGGCUAUGUUUUAAAUUGCUGGCCACAGCCUGUAACAACACAUGACUAGCCGCCAUGUUCGUUCAGGGAUAAAGAAGGUGGAGUCGAAGCUUUACCACUGCCUUUGUUGAGGGCUGCCAGCUAUGUUGAAUUCCUUGUUUGGUGCUAAGUGAAACUUUUGUCCUUGUAGCUUUUUGCUGUUCAGUUUUAAUGCAAUGUGGUAGGAUGAGCAAGAUUUGCUAGCCCCUCUAUGGACCAUAUCUGAUUAAAAAUUUUGCUUUGAUUUUAGUUAAGAAAUAUAUUCAAAGUUAUGCUAAUGACUAGAGUUGGUUACAAGAUUGGGCUUUACCUAGUCUCUUGUCUAUGUUUUCAAGGUUAAGCCUAGGAUGGGUAACUAUGAAGUUUGCCUAUGAAGAUCUACUUGAAAUAGAUACAGUCCUAAAACACUCAUCUAAGGAAUAUGCCAGAAUUAGAGAUUAUGGCAUUCUGUUUUACAGGAUGCAGUUUAGAGCAGAUAACAAAAGAUGGACAAAGAGUAACUCAGAUAUGCUGGCCCUCAAGCUUGUCAGAGAUCUGUGGAAUAUGGCAUUUUAACAUGUGUAAGCUUAUUGUGACAGAGAGUCCCAAAAUCCUGGCAGUAGCUCCCACGGUCUCCGAGAAGAUUUGGGCACAAUGAUAGAUGACUUCAACUCUGGAUUGUGGUAUGCUAACCACUGGGCAAGACUGCCUAAACUGGCCCACCACUAGGGCCCAGCCUAAACUGUGGACACCUGGAGAGUCAUUAUUUCAUGUUGCUGAAGGCAAGAAUCUAUUUGGUGAUCAGCUAUGGACUACAAGCUGAAAUAUGGACUUGCUGGAAGCUGAUAUGAUUGUCCCCUGUCUCUUUGGAUCAACCAACCAGAUGCUUCUGAGGACUGCACCAUUGCCCAGCCUUUGGCUGGCAUUUCAGCCUUCCUAGCCCCUGAUGCCAACGGUCCCAUGUCAGCACUGAAGUAGUUUCAGAAGACGAGACCUUCACCCAUAAUCCCUAUGGGCUGAAAUGCUAAGUCCAAAGGGGCUCCCUGACAUUAGCUAUUAUCUUGGGGACCUGCUUAGCGGGAGCAGCAACUGGACAAAAAGCCUGGAAAGAUCCUAGAGAUAAAGGAUUCCAGAGGAUGGUUUAAAUCUUGGUAUAAUAGUUCUCCUUGGCUUACUACCCUUAUAUCUGCCCUGAUGGGACCCCAACUCAGUUUGAUUUUUACCUUUGGGCCUUGUAUUUUAAAUUGCUUGAUGGCUUUCAUGAGGGAAUGCUUGGGAGAGAUAUACAGUUAUUGUACUCAGAUCCCAUUGUGAAAAGGUAAAUCUGGAGGACACCAAGGGUCAUAUCUGGAAGAUCCAUGAUUGGGUCUUCAAAUGAUCAUGGGAAGGGGGGAAUGAGAGACCAAAGAAUUAGGAAUUAGUUGUUUUUUUGGGGGGUGGGGUGGGGGAAGGGUAUUGGUUUAAAGUUUAAAGCACAAGCCUGAACAAAGGCUAGACAGGUGGAAACAUGUCCAGUCACCUAGGGGAGGAACCAGCCUUACUGCAUUCUUUUCCUGCCCACUACAGAUACAGUUUCUAGGGAACUGGCCCAGGUCUCCCCUCUCCCCUAGGACAGCCAAACAAGGAAAGCCAGACCAUUAAUGGUUUUGGGGCUUUUCUAUAGGCAGUCAAUUAAAAAUGCAACAUCCCCUUUUGUGAUUCAACCAAUAGACACUUGCCUGGCAGGAAUUCCCCUGCUUUGGGUGCACUGUGAGGAACUUGAAUCUGUAAAUCACCACCUACCCUGAGCAUGAGGCUCUCUGCUUUCAACUGCUGCAGCAGUGAGGGUGUGUACAAACUAUAGCUUGUAAUAAAAAGGUCCUCAUGUAUUUUGCAA